AAUUUGCCUCUCUCUCUCUCUCUCUCUCUCUCUCAUCGUGCUCGCUUCUAAUGGAGGACGCCGACACCUUCGAUCCAGACCUCAUUCAUGCCAUUUUUAAGCUCGUGUGGAACAGAAGAGCCCUCGAGCGAGAAAGGAACGAAGGCGCUGAUGCUUUGGAUAUCCAGGUUGGUGCAGGAGCAUCCAAAAAAAAUCGGCCGACAUAUGCUAAUGCAAAUGCACUCAAGCUGAGCUGUGAACUUCUCCGAAUCUUUAUCACAGAGGCGGUGCAGCGUGCUGCUACGAUUGCUGAAGCAGAGGGUGUUAGUAAAAUUGAAGCAACUCACUUGGAGAGGAUUCUCCCUCAGUUACUUUUGGAUUUUUAAGGUAUCAUGGGAAAUGCAUUUUUUGGGUCUUAGUCUCUUCAGCUGCUCUCUUACCUGCUCAGAUAUUGGAGAUUAUAACUUUGUUUUGUUUUGUUUUUUUGAUUUCUUGUAAAAGGCAAUGCAACUUGGGAGUAGUAGUACAAUGUAAUGUUUGUGUUAAAUAGAGCACCGAAUGCACUGUCUGUUGCAUGAGUUGGACAACUUUGCAGAUCAACCCGAUAUAAUUCUAGUCCACAAUGAUUCAUUUUUGUACUGCUUCCGUUGGUCUUAUGUCCACACUCCACGUAUUUGAAUCUUUGAUCUUCCAUCUAAAAGGUAGGAUUGUUCCCCACUGUCCAUGAAUUGCAUUGUAGCAAAUUAAUAUGACUACUGCACCAUAAUAAAUGCAGUUUCGAUACCAACAAAAUGCUGUUAGAAUUUUACUGGUACCACUCAAAUUGAGCUUGGUUUAAAACCAUGUAUCUCUAUACAGUAUGGUAGCAAGCUUCUCUUUGGGUGGUUUCUUGGAGAUAAUCAUGCUUCCAUAGUUCCAUAUGGAUCGCUUUCAUUGAUUGAUUGAGCUCUUUUACUACUGUUUGUUGAAAGCACAAAUAGAAACUGAAACUUCAUUACCUAAAAAUGUCUCAAUGUAGAACUCAGUCCACAUGAAAGAAGAGAGGAAAUAUCAGCAUGAACUGAAAUCGAAAGUUGAGACCACAUGGUUGCUGUGGAUAUUAUAAAUGAUCUACUAAUUUCCAAAGACUUACAGUUGAUGCUUACUUGCAUAGAAAAUACGACUAACAGCUUUCAAAUCUUCCUGGAGGUUUACCUCGCUGAGCAGUAAUAGAAAAAAGCUUUAUUUAAAAUUCAUGAUAUUUGUAUAGCCGAUAUAACUAAUGAGUUUAGUCUCAAGGCUGUAAAAUUUUGCACUGGAUUAUCUCUCCCCAUGAGCAAUGUCCUUGUGUGAUCGUUUUCUUAUCAUGAUCGAGAUUGAAUAUGCUGCUUUUAUUUUUUCGAAUAAUUGUUUAACAGCAACAGAGGUGAAGAAUUUUGAUGUCUUCUUUCAUAUACUGGAUUAUUUGAUCAGUAUGCCAGUGAAAGUGGUGACAGAAGUGGCCUGCCAUUGAGAUACUGAGUUGUUGCCAUUCAUCUUGAUAAAGCUAGUAGUGCAUCUCAUUGUUUUUAUGAUCCCUUGUAUAAAAUGAAUUUGCAAUAGAAAUUCAUUUCUGUAAAUGACCCUCAAGGCUAUGUAAUUUAGGAAUUUAAGAUGUCUUUCAUGAUCCUUAAAAUAACUGUAUUACUUAGAAACAGAGUGUAUUACUAAUGAAUGGAGAAGUUUGUAAUUGAAUUAUUA